GAAGACAGAAUAGGAAAGACGGGAGGGAAAGCACGGGAAGCGGCGGAGGAUGGAGGGCAAAGGAGAGGAGCGGAGUAAGAGAAGAGAGCGCGUCAACAGGCGGCACGGCUCCACCGCCUUCUUCAUGGCGGUGGAUUACCUCUUCCUCCUCGUCUUCUUCUGCUUCCUCUGCUACUUCCUCCACAAGAUCUGGCCCGGAUCGAAGCCCUAACUGACUCCGAACGAUCCGCGUUUUGUUGACCCCGAGAGCCGGUCUCUUCUAUUCAUUCUAACCUCGGUAAUCUUCGGUUCUCGCUCUUUUUCUUCUCGUUGUGAUCUUUAAUGGUUUCUUUCUGUCGACGAUAUAGUGUCCCGAAUGUUGUUGUUUCAAGUUGCAAUGUGUAGCAUGACGACUAUCAGAGAAGCUGUUCGAAAAAUUAUUUUCCGUUCUCUUCGCCCUUGUUGAAGCUAUUGUUCUUUUUGAGAUCUGAGAGCGAGUUUUUACAGAUCAGAAGAGUACAUUGUAAGAUUUUUGUUGCUAAAGAUUGCUUGGAUGCAUUGUUUCGUAUUGCUGUAAAUUUCUUCGUGCUGCGACUGUUUGGUCAACAAAUUUUGAUGUUGAUUCUUCAUCCAUCUUUGGAACGAUCUGAGAAUGACAGGGUGAAGUUGAUUGAGGAUCCAUGUGAGUCUGUAUUGGUCAUCUUAAUGUUAUUGAUCAUAAACCUAAUUUUGGCCCCCAGUCAAAUUUUAUUAAAUUAAGACAGAAAUUAAGUGAUUUUUUGAUCUAGUGCGAGAAAAAUAUAAACAUCAACGAUAGCAUUAAAUCCAGUUAUUCGAGAUGUCGCCGCUGGGCGAAUUAAGAAUCUAGGGCUCUAUACCUACAUAAGAUUUGAAUUUAUGAUGUUCUGAUCUGGUUGAUCUUUUUUCAUUUAUUAUUGUAGGAUCUACUCUCAAGGAUCCUUGACACCUGACUAGGCACAUCCAUUAUAGACUUUGCAGUGAUGGAAGCCUCAUACAAUGGAUUGCCCAAUUUGGCUUGAGUUAAAAUGGUGUUAGGGAUACUUUGUUGAGAUCUCUUCUUGUGGGGAAUACUGCAUUGUUGAUCCUCAUCGGACUAAUUGUGUGGGAAGCUUGUGGACCGGACUGCUUAUGCCCACUAAGGAUAUAAUAGGGUAUAGAGACAAAUUGUUGUGAUUUGUAUUUGGGCAUUAAUUUCUUACUUCACAUGGAAAAGAAAAGAAUAGAUCUUAGGAUACUAAGGGUUUAAAAUUCGUGUCAUGUCAAUGACUAUAUUAAGUUUGACUAUAAGUAACGAAGAAUAAGGCUAUGUUUGAGGAAAUAUUGUAGCUGAGGAUUUUUCAAUUGUGCUAAAUGAAAUCGUGGACUAAAUUAUUCUUUUAUCUGUGAUUGGUUUAUUUUUUUUAUGCAAUCUGUGGUUGGUAUAUAGAUAAAUUGUUGUGAUUUGCAUUUGGGCACUAAUUUUUUACUUCACAUGGAAAAGAAAAGAAUAAAUCUUAGGAUACUAAGGCUUGAAAAUUCAUGUCAUAUCAAUGACUAUAUUAAGUUUGACUAUAAGUAACAAAGAAUAAGGCUAUGUUUCAGGAAAUAUUGUAGCCAAGGAUUUUUCAAUUGCGCUAAAUGAAAUCAUGGACUAAAUUAUUCUUUUAUCUGUGAUUGGUUUAUUUUCUUGAUGCAAUCUGUGGUUGGUAUAGAGAUAAAUUGUUGUGAUCUGCAUUUGAGCACUAAUUCCUUACUUCACAUGGAAAAGAAAAGAAUAAAUAUUAGGAUACGAAGGCUUGAAAAUUGAUUGGCAUAUCAAUAACUAUAUUAAGUUUGACUAUAGGUAAAAAAGAACAAGGCUAUGUUCAAGGAAUAUUGUUGCUGAGGAUUUUUCAAUUGUGUUAAACGAAAUUAUGGACUAAAUUAUUCUGCAAUCUGUGGUUGGUUUAUUUUCUUGAUGAAUUAUGAAUACUUAACCUUUAGAUGAUUCCUUAUAUGAUCCAACAG
rnacentral:lncRNA from 1 species